rnacentral:rRNA from 1 species
CAGUAGCCGCGGUAACACGAAGGGUGCAAGCGUUACUCGGAAUUACUGGGCGUAAAGCGUGCGUAGGUGGUGGUUUAAGUCCGUUGUGAAAGCCCUGGGCUCAACCUGGGAAUUGCAGUGGAUACUGGGUCACUAGAGUGUGGUAGAGGAUAGUGGAAUUUCCGGUGUAGCAGUGAAAUGCGUAGAGAUCGGAAGGAACAUCUGUGGCGAAGGCGACUAUCUGGGCCAACACUGACACUGAGGCACGAAAGCGUGGGGAGCAAACAGGAUUAGAUACCCCAGUAGUCCCUGUCUCUUAUAA